CCUACGGGUGGCAGCAGUGGGGAAUAUUGCACAAUGGGCGCAAGCCUGAUGCAGCCAUGCCGCGUGUAUGAAGAAGGCCUUCGGGUUGUAAAGUACUUUCAGCGGGGAGGAAGGUGUUGUGGUUAAUAACCGCAGCAAUUGACGUUACCCGCAGAAGAAGCACCGGCUAACUCCGUGCCAGCAGCCGCGGUAAUACGGAGGGUGCAAGCGUUAAUCGGAAUUACUGGGCGUAAAGCGCACGCAGGCGGUCUGUCAAGUCGGAUGUGAAAUCCCCGGGCUCAGCCUGGGAACUGCAUUCGAAACUGGCAGGCUAGAGUCUUGUAGAGGGGGUAGAAUUCCAGGUGUAGCGGUGAAAUGCGUAGAGGUCUGGAGGAAUACCGGUGGCGAAGGUGGCCCCCUGGACAAAGACUGACGCUCAGGUGCGAGAGCGUGGGGAGCAAGCAGGAUUAGAUACCCCAGUAGUC
rnacentral:rRNA from 1 species